rnacentral:rRNA from 1 species
AAUAUUGGACAAUGGGGGCAACCCUGAUCCAGCCAUGCCGCGGGCGUGAAGAAGAUCAUCGGAUUGUAAAGCACUUUAAGUUGGGAGGAAGGGCUUUAGGUUAAUACUCUGAAGUUUUGACGUUACCAACAGAAUAAGCAACGGCUAACUCUGUGCCAGCAGCCGCGGUAAUACAGAGGGUGCAAGCGUUAAUCGGAAUCACUGUGAGUAAAGCGCGAGUAGGUAGGUCGUUAAGAAGGGUGAGAAAUGCCCGGGCUUAACCUGGGCACUGCUUUCAUAACUGCUGAGCUAGAGUACGGUAGAGGGUAGUGGAAUUUCCUGGGUAGCGGUGAAAUGCGUAGAUAUAGGAAGGAACACCAGUGGCGAAGGCGACUACAUGGACUGAUACUGACACUGAGGUGCGAAAGCGUGGGGAGCGAAC